rnacentral:snoRNA from 19 species
CAUGGCGGUCUUGAGCCCUAACAGACCUGAAAUAAUUAUUGCGGAUAUGAUUGCUUAAUUCAGAGCACAUCUAAGGGACUGAGUUGCC